UACGUAGGGGGCAAGCGUUGUCCGGAAUCAUUGGGCGUAAAGAGCGCGUAGGCGGCCCAGCCAAGUCCGCUCUGAAAGUCAGGGGCUCAACCCCUGAAUGCGGGUGGAUACUGCCGGGCUAGAGUCCGGAAGAGGCGAGUGGAAUUCCUGGUGUAGCGGUGGAAUGCGCAGAUAUCAGGAGGAACACCAACAGCGAAGGCAGCUCGCUGGGACGGUACUGACGCUGAGGCGCGAAAGCGUGGGGAGCAAACAGG
rnacentral:rRNA from 1 species